rnacentral:rRNA from 1 species
UACGGGGGGGGCAAGCGUUGUUCGGAAUUACUGGGCGUAAAGGGCUCGUAGGUGGCCAACUAAGUCAGACGUGAAAUCCCUCAGCUUAACUGGGGAACUGCGUCUGAUACUGGAUGGCUCGAGUUUGGGAGAGGGAUGCGGAAUUCCAGGUGUAGCGGUGAAAUGCGUAGAUAUCUGGAGGAACACCGGUGGCGAAGGCGGCAUCCUGGACCAACACUGACACUGAGGAGCGAAAGCCAGGGGAGCAAACGGG